AGCGAACGUUUGCGGCGGGCUUAACACAUGCAAGUCGAACGAGAAUCCCUUCGGGGAGGAAAGUGGCGCACGGGUGCGUAACACGUGGAUAACCAACCCAUUGGUUUGGGACAACACCGGGAAACUGGUGCUAAUACCAGAUGUGUCGCAGCUGUCUUCAGGCGGUUGCGAGAAAGGCCCGCAAGGGUCGCCAACGGACGGGUCCGCGUCCCAUCAGCUAGUUGGUGAGGUAAUGGCUCACCAAGGCAAAGACGGGUAGCUGGUCUGAGAGGAUGAUCAGCCACACUGGAACUGAGACACGGUCCAGACUCCUACGGGAGGCAGCAGUGGGGAAUAUUGCGCAAUGGGCGAAAGCCUGACGCAGCCACGCCGCGUGAGCGAUGAAGGUCUUCGGAUCGUAAACUCCUGUCAGUCUGGAAGAAAAUCUGCAGCAAUGUGGAUUGACCGUACAGGCAGAGGAAGCUCCGGCUAACUCCGUGCCAG
rnacentral:rRNA from 1 species